GCAAUUUUAUCCAAAUUGCCAAAGGUUGUUGCAAUUCUAUGUAAUUGUUUUCCAAGCAGAUUCUUUAACUCUGUUUUCCGACUGAUUCACAGCCACCUAUGUUGAUCCAACCCAACUAACUACUACUACCUAUCAAGUCUCAUUUUAAUAUCCAUGGUGCAUCAAAUUCUUAACCAUUCGGCCAAAUCAGGUGGUUUUGUUGAUUGGUUCGCCCACUCUCUCUUCUUACCACCACCAAAUCGUGUCGCCAUUGAUGCCCCACAGGUAUCAAAAUGAAAUUUCAGAGAUGUUGGUAGCAGUGGUAAGAUUGGAUCAUUAUUGGUGGCCAUAGAUAAAUGGGAAAAUGGAGUUGAAAAUUUGAUUGGCAAAAAUUAGAUAGAAUUGCAACAACCUUGGCAAUUUGGAUAAAUUAUCAAAAUUGAAAACCACGAAAAAGUUUGGCG
rnacentral:misc_RNA from 1 species